UGGGGAAUUUUGCACAAUGGGGGAAACCCUGAUGCAGCGACGCCGCGUGAUUUAGAAGGCCUUCGGGUUGUAAAAAUCUUUUCUAUGGGAAGAAAAUGACAGUACCAUAGGAAUAAGGACCGGCUAAUUACGUGCCAGCAGCCGCGGUAAUACGUAAGGUCCGAGCGUUGUCCGGAAUCAUUGGGCGUAAAGGGUACGUAGGCGGGUAAGCAAGUUAGAAGUGAAAUCCUAUAGCUCAACUAUAGUAAGCUUUUAAAACUGCUCAUCUUGAGGUAUGGAAGAGAAAGUGGAAGUCCUAGUGUAGCGGUGAAAUGCGCAGAUAUUAGGAGGAAUACCGGUGGCGAAGGCGACUUUCUGGCCAUAACCUGACGCUGAGAUACGAAAGAGUGGGUAGCAAACAGG
rnacentral:rRNA from 1 species